UACGGAGGGGGUAAGCGUUGUUCGGAAUUACUGGGCGUAAAGGGCUCGUAGGCUGCCAGCUACGUCAGACGUGAAAUCCCUCAGCUUAACUGGGGAACUGCGUCUGAUACUGGAUGGCUUGAGUUUGGGAGAGGGAUGCGGAAUUCCAGGUGUAGCGGUGAAAUGCGUAGAUAUCUGGAGGAACACCGGUGGCGAAGGCGGCAUCCUGGACCAACACUGACACUGAGGAGCGAAAGCCAGGGGAGCAAACGGG
rnacentral:rRNA from 1 species